GUAGGAUCAAGACGUUGCAGCAAAACUGCUACUUCUGUGGGUCGUAGCUCUUCAAGCCUAUUUUUCUAAUUGCAACACCUUUUUAUAAUGGGCCAUGUNNGCCUGCACCUCUUCUUCCCAUUGCAGCCAAGGAAGUGAAAAGCCAGCCAAAUAAAUUGAAGAUUUAAUCACCAGGCCAUGAUUCUUCUCACCGCUGGACCACCCUUCUUUUUUAUGUAACCCGUGUGCCUUUCUUAUAAGUGGCAGCCUUGCCCUUAAUUGAAUCAACCAAUUCUGGAUGUGUUGCCAUCUGCUGGGCCUUGCUGGACAUGCUACACACACCUCCAAGCUGGACAAUGAAAGCCUCCUAAGUUGCUGCCCAAGGCGUGC
rnacentral:lncRNA from 1 species